AACCUGCGGAAGGAUCAUUACCGAGUGAGGGCCCUCUGGGUCCAACCUCCCACCCGUGUUUAUUUUACCUUGUUGCUUCGGCGGGCCCGCCUUAACUGGCCGCCGGGGGGCUUACGUCCCCGGGCCCGCGCCCGCCGAAGACACCCUCGAACUCUGUCUGAAGAUUGUAGUCUGAGUGAAAAUAUAAAUUAUUUAAAACUUUCAACAACGGAUCUCUUGGUUCCGGCAUCGAUGAAGAACGCAGCGAAAUGCGAUACGUAAUGUGAAUUGCAAAUUCAGUGAAUCAUCGAGUCUUUGAACGCACAUUGCGCCCCCUGGUAUUCCGGGGGGCAUGCCUGUCCGAGCGUCAUUGCUGCCCUCAAGCACGGCUUGUGUGUUGGGCCCCGUCCUCCGAUCCCGGGGGACGGGCCCGAAAGGCAGCGGCGGCACCGCGUCCGGUCCUCGAGCGUAUGGGGCUUUGUCACCCGCUCUGUAGGCCCGGCCGGCGCUUGCCGAUCAACCCAAAUUUUUAUCCAGGUUGACCUCGGAUCAGGUAGGGAUACCCGCUGAACUUAAGCAUAUCAA
rnacentral:rRNA from 1 species